rnacentral:rRNA from 1 species
CGGAGGUACUCGAGUGGCGAACGGGUGAGUAACACGUGGGUGAUCUGCCCUGCACUCCGGGAUAAGCCUGGGAAACUGGGUCUAAUACCGGAUAGGACCAUGCUUUAGUGUGUGUGGUGGAAAGUUUUUUCGGUGUAGGAUGAGCCCGCGGCCUAUCAGCUUGUUGGUGGGGUAAUGGCCUACCAAGGCGGCGACGGGUAGCCGGACUGAGAGGUUGGUCGGCCACAUUGGGACUGAGAUACGGCCCAG